rnacentral:rRNA from 1 species
GAUGAACGCUGGCGGCGUGCCUAAUACAUGCAAGUCGAGCGAACGGACGAGAAGCUUGCUUUUCUGAUGUUAGCGGCGGACGGGUGAGUAACACGUGGGUAACCUACCUAUAGGACUGGGAUAACUUCGGGAAACCGGAGCUAAUACCGGAUAAUAUUUUGAACCGCAUGGUUCAAAAGUGAAAGACGGUCUUGCUGUCACUUAUAGAUGGAUCCGCGCUGCAUUAGCUAGUUGGUAAGGUAACGGCUUACCAAGGCAACGAUGCAUAGCCGACCUGAGAGGGUGAUCGGCCACACUGGAACUGAGACACGGUCCAGACUCCUACGGGAGGCAGCAGUAGGGAAUCUUCCGCAAUGGGCGAAAGCCUGACGGAGCAACGCCGCGUGAGUGAUGAAGGUCUUCGGAUCGUAAAACUCUGUUAUUAGGGAAGAACAUAUGUGUAAGUAACUGUGCACAUCUUGACGGUACCUAAUCAGAAAGCCACGGCUAACUACGUG